UUUUAGUCGAGGUGGGAGACGGGAAACACAGCUAUUUCUGUUUAUUUCACAUUAGGAGGACUUGUGGCAUUCGAUCCGUCGUCGUCAGAAGUUUUGGCUUCAGCAAAUAUGUUUUAUCCGUCUUAUAUUAAGUGUUUCAUUGCACUGAUGUUUGUUUCUGUGCUUCGUUAUUUAGUCUGACAAUGCAAUUUUAUUUCUCCCACAACCAUAUUCCCAUUUUACCAUUUCG